ACCUGGGUGGCUCAGUCGGUUAAGCGUCUGACUUCGGCUCAGGUCAUGAUCUCACGGUUCGUGGGUUCAAGCCCCGCUUUGGGCU
rnacentral:tRNA from 1 species